UAGACACCGUCCAACUAAAUGCUUCCUGGCAGGUUCCUUCUCCACAUACACAUGGUAGACACCGUCCAACUAAAUGCUUCCUGGCAGGUUCCUUCUCCACAUACACAUGGUAGACACCGUCCAACUAAAUGCUUCCUGGCAGGUUCCUUCUCCACAUACACAUGGUAGACACCGUCCAACUAAAUGCUUCCUGGCAGGUUCCUUCUCCACAUACACAUGGUAGACACCGUCCAACUAAAUGCU